rnacentral:rRNA from 1 species
UACGUAGGUGGCAAGCGUUAUCCGGAUUUACUGGGUGUAAAGGGCGUGUAGGCGGGACUGCAAGUCAGAUGUGAAAACCACGGGCUCAACCAUUGUAUGCAUUGGAAACUGGUAGACUUGAGUGCAGGAGAGGAGAGUGGAAUUCCAUGUGUAGCGGUGAAAUGCGUAGAUAUAUGGAGGAACACCGGUGGCGAAAGCGGCUCUCUGGCCUGUAACUGACACUGAGGCUCGAAAGCGUGGGGAGCAAACAGG